rnacentral:rRNA from 1 species
AGAGUUUGAUCCUGGCUCAGGAUGAACGCUAGCGGCAGGCCUAACACAUGCAAGUCGAGGGGCAGCACAGGUAGCAAUACUGGGUGGCGACCGGCGGAUGGGUGCGUAACGCGUAUGCAACCUACCAUUGAUUGGGGCAUAGCCCGAAGAAAUUCGGAUUAAUACUCCAUAAUAUUCAUUAAAGGCAUCUUUUAUGAAUUAAAGCUUUUGCGAUCAAUGAUGGGCAUGCGUGACAUUAGUUAGUUGGUGAGGUAACGACUCACCAAAACGAUGAUGUCUAGGGGUUCUGAGAGGAUUAUCCCCCACACUGGUACUGAGACACGGACCAGACUCCUACGGGAGGCAGCAGUGAGGAAUAUUGGUCAAUGGACGCAAGUCUGAUCCAGCAAUGCCGCGUGCAGGAUGAAGGCCUUCGGGUUGUAAACUGCUUUUGUACGGAACGAAAAGCUUCGGGCUAAUACCCUGGAGUCAUGACGGUACCGUAAGAAUAAGCACCGGCUAACUACGUGCCAGCAGCCGCGGUAAUACGUAGGGGGCGAGCGUUGUCCGGAAUUACUGGGCGUAAAGGGUGCGUAGGCGGCCCUUUAAGUCGGAUGUGAAAGCCCGCGGCUUAACCGCGGAAUGGCAUUCGAAACUGGAGGGCUUGAGUGUCGGAGAGGGUAGUGGAAUUCCCAGUGUAGCGGUGAAAUGCGUAGAUAUUGGGAGGAACACCAGUGGCGAAGGCGACUACCUGGACGAUAACUGACGCUGAGGCACGAAAGCUAGGGGAGCAAACAGGAUUAGAUACCCUGGUAGUCCUAGCCGUAAACGAUGGGUACUAGGUGUGGGUGGUUUCGAUACCAUCCGUGCCGUAGUUAACGCAUUAAGUACCCCGCCUGGGGAGUACGUGCGCAAGCAUGAAACUCAAAGGAAUUGACGG